CCAAAUGAAAGAACAUAUUUUUCAUCAAUAGUAGUUCACUUAGUGAGUGUUGAGACUUUGGGUCUGAGUGA